AUUGAACGCUGGCGGCAGGCCUAACACAUGCAAGUCGAGCGGUUGAAGGGAGCUUGCUCCUGGAUUCAGCGGCGGACGGGUGAGUAAUGCCUAGGAAUCUGCCUGGUCGUGGGGGAUAACGUCCGGAAACGGGCGCUAAUACCGCAUCCGUCCUGCGGGAGAAAGUGGGGGAUCUUCGGACCUCACGCUAUCAGAUGAGCCUAGGUCGGAUUAGCUAGUUGGUGGGGUAAAGGCCUACCAAGGCGACGAUCCGUAACUGGUCUGAGAGGAUGAUCAGUCACACUGGAACUGAGACACGGUCCAGACUCCUACGGGAGGCAGCAGUGGGGAAUAUUGGACAAUGGGCGAAAGCCUGAUCCAGCCAUGCCGCGUGUGUGAAGAAGGUCUUCGGAUUGUAAAGCACUUUAAGUGGGGAGGAAGGGCAGUAAGUUAAUACCUUGCUGUUUUGACGUUACCAACAGAAUAAGCACCGGCUAACUUCGUG
rnacentral:rRNA from 1 species